UUACGACCAUAUCACGUUGGACCACCGGCUCUCGUACGAACACCGAAGUUAAGCAACGUCAAUCCUGGUCAGUACCUAGAUGGGUGACCGCUUGGGAGUAGCAGGUACUGUAAG